UACGGAGGGUGCGAACGUUAAUCGGAAUCACUGGGCGUAAAGCGCGCGUAGGCGGUCCGUUAAGUGGGAUGUGAAAUCCCCGGGCUUAACCUGGGAAUUGCAUUUCAAACUGGCGGACUAGAGUGCGGUAGAGGGAGGUAGAAUUUCCUGUGUAGCGGUGAAAUGCGUAGAUAUAGGAAGGAAUACCAGUGGCGAAGGUGGCCUCCUGGAUCGACACUGACGCUGAGGCGCGAAAGCGUGGGGAGCAAACAGG
rnacentral:rRNA from 1 species